GGAUGUGAGGGCGAUCUGGCUGUGACAUCUGUCACCCCAUUGAAUGCCAGGUUGAUUUGGCUGAUCUGCCUGUCUAAGCGGGUGUCCCCUUCCUCCCUCACCGCUCCAUGUGUGAUCCUCCAGAAGACUUGCAUUUGCUUGAAGAGGAUGGCCUACCCCGAGUAGAGGUGGACUGUCUUUGGUUGAGGGUGUAUGAAUAGCUGUGCUCCCCUGCUAGAACCUGAUCAGGUAUUUCCUCUAUCCUGUCAUAUCUUCAUAACCAAAAAAUUCUCUGCCUGGAAGCUAUGCACAAAGAAGAUCCUCCAACCUAGUCCAACUUGUACCCUCCAAGUUAAAAUUU
ensembl:misc_RNA 7SK 7SK RNA